rnacentral:rRNA from 1 species
UUGACCUCAAAUCAGGUGGGACUACCCGCUGAACUUAAGCAUAUCAAUAAGCGGAGGAAAAGAAACUAACAAGGAUUCCCUUAGUAACUGCGAGUGAAGUGGGAAGAGCUCAAAUUUGAAAUCUGGCAGUCUCUGGCUGUCCGAGUUGUAAUCUAGAGAAGUGUUGCCCGCGCUGGACCGUGUACAAGUCUCCUGGGAUGGAGCGUCAUAGAGGGUGAGAAUCCCGUCUCUGACAUGGACUACCAGGGCUUUUGUGGUGCGCUCUCAAAGAGUCGAGUUGUUUGGGAAUGCAGCUCAAAAUGGGU